UACGGGGGGGGCAAGCGUUGUUCGGAAUUACUGGGCGUAAAGGGCUCGUAGGCGGCCAACUAAGUCGGAUGUGAAAUCCCCAGGCUUAACCUGGGAACUGCAUCCGAUACUGGAUGGCUUGAAUCCGGGAGAGGGAUGCAGAAUUCCAGGUGUAGCGGUGAAAUGCGUAGAUAUCUGGAGGAAUACCGGUGGCGAAGGCGGGUAGCUGGGCCGACACUGACGCUGAUGCGCGAAAGCGUGGGGAGCAAACAGG
rnacentral:rRNA from 1 species